UGGGCUGGGGGACCCAGUGACCCUUCUGGCUGCUAGAGUCUGCUGACCAUGAUUCACGAGCCAGCGUGGGAGGCAGCAGAGGAGUCAGCUGAUGGUGACACUUCAGGAUCUGGCCUUUUACUGAUCAUUAGCAACUAUGUUGGGAAUAAGACAGGGCCCCGUUUAGCUAAUCAGAACUUCCAGGGCUAGAUAUGGAGAGAAGCUAGAAAGGAGAUGGGAAGGUACCAGCCUGUGCUAGGUGAUUUACACAAAUUAUUUUGCUUCCCACUGUGACAUUAUGGGUUUGAACUACUAAUUGUAGUGAUCAUAAUAACAGCUAGCAUUAAUUGAGGAUUUACUUUGUGCCAGUCCCUUCCUUAAAGGACUUUGUAUUCAUUAUCUCAAGCUAACUUAUAUAACAAUUAUAUGGCAUAGAUACCAUCGUUAUCCUUAUUUUUCUGGUUAAAAAAUUGGGUCAGGUUUUGGGUCAGGGCACAGAGAGGGCACUUGCCCAUCUCACAGCUUUUAAGUGGCAGAGUUGGGACUUGAACCUACUUCAUCUGAUGCCAGAGCCUGAAGAACGCAGAUGCCUUGAUGUCCUAUCCUUCAGCACAUACAAAACAGAACAAGCAAACACAUUAGAAUGAACGUGGAAUAAAUACGAAAGACCCUAUCUACCCUGAGAGUCAACUUUGAGUGCAACUUUGAGUCAAAGACCACGGAGGGGAUGCAUGGAGUAUUAGGACAAUUCUGAGGCAUGUUCUUCAUGAUAUCUCAGAGGUCUCCAAUGGGACCGAUCCUCGGUUUCCUGAAGAAGUAACCAACUCAGUAACACACCCUGCCAACAUUCCCAUCUCUGUCGUGACUCCCUCACUUAAGAUCACCUUGCAAAUAAGUCA